rnacentral:rRNA from 1 species
UCGUGAAGUGAUUUGUUUGGUUGAUUCCGUUAACGAACGAGAUCUCAUCCACUUAGUAGGAACAUUCUCGUUAUGGUACUAUGUACUUAGAGUUUGUAUCUCUUCUUAGUGGCACUUGUCGUGAUCUGUAGCGCAUCAGGGAGCGAGCCAAUAGCA